UACAGAGGUCUCAAGCGUUGUUCGGAUUCAUUGGGCGUAAAGGGGGCGUAGGCGGGUCUUUAAGUCAGGGGUGAAAUCCUGGAGCUCAACUCCAGAACUGCCUUUGAUACUGAAGAUCUUGAGUUCGGGAGAGGUGAGUGGAACUGCGAGUGUAGAGGUGAAAUUCGUAGAUAUUCGCAAGAACACCAGUGGCGAAGGCGGCUCACUGGCCCGAUACUGACGCUGAGGCACGAAAGCGUGGGGAGCAAACAGG
rnacentral:rRNA from 1 species